AUCCUUGCCAUUGGUCUCCUAUUCCUUCAUGGCUCAUUGUGAAUUCGUCUGUAACAUUCUGUCAUCUAUUAGUCUUUCAGUUCUUACUAUGUUCCAAAGCUGGUACACUGAUUCAAUCUCAUAUUCCCAGACCAGGGUUUCUUAACCUACAGGUAAUGAACAAUCCCAUGUGUAUCUGUUUUACCUUUUUGUUUCUUGGUCUUUUCAGUUUUGCUUUGUUUUUGUUUUAUUUUAUGAGAACGAGGACCAUAUAUUUCGUUUGAUUUUUAAAGAGACCGCUCAAAUGCUAAAAAGGGUCAUCCUAGAUAACAGUCAAGAUCUUUGUGACAACCCAGAGUAAUUGUGGACACACUUCCAUGCUGUCCUGAUGUCUUCUUCACCUAUUAGGAUUGAAGAGGAGUCAUGGUCUGCCUAAUGUUAUAAGGGGCAAGUCUGACAAGGAUAAACUCAGAUGAAGGUGCUCUUAUUUAGAAAAGGUUAAUAUGAUCUAUAACAUUAAAAUUUCGAUUAACCCUCUAAUGACAAUACAGCUGAUUUUUUUGGUAAUUUUUAAUUGAGCUUAAUCUCUCCUUUAAUAAUAGCAAAGAAGAUCUUGAACAUUCAGAAUCCCUAGACAGUAAAAUCCUUAACACAGAGAGUGUGCAGGGGACAUGGCUACCUAUAAUUCAGCAGUGCUGACAAACUGAAUGACACUGGAUAAAUCAUUUAAUUUUGAUGUCCCUUAGUUACCUUGCCUUGAAAUGGGAAUGCUAAAAGUUUCACUACUUCCUUUGCAAGGUUACUGUGAAUGUAAAAUAGAAUAACUAGAAAGCUAAAAUAUAUAUGUAAUUUAUUUAUCUGUAAGUAAUGUGUGGAACUUUUAAGCCUCGUAUGGGAAUAAAACAAAUAUACACUGUACUAUUCUAUGAACAAAUCUGUUGGCCAACAUUCUGAUAUUGAAUAUUUAUACACGAUAUAAUGUCUCCAUUUAUUUUCUGGACAGAAUAUAUGAGAUUUCUCAACAGAGGAUUUCCCGUUCUCUUAUUUAAGUAUUCUCCUCGGUGUUUGGGAGGCUGUAUAUUAAACUAGAGAAAAGGUAUUUGUUUGUAGUCAAACAUAAGCUUUUAUAUCUACUCUGCCCUUUUACUAGAUCUGGGUCUCUGGGAAGUUAGUAGGUCCUUUAUGAAUGACAGUGUUCUUGUGUUUUGGCAAUACCAACUAUAGGUUUUCCUAACAUCAGUUUUGUGCUUUGUCAAGUCUCUUGUUUGCUUGGUUUAAAUCCCGCUUCCAACUUCUUAAAGUCUAAUUAUAGAAUUGUCUUGAGUUUAUUGAUGUUUAACUUCUAGGGCGGUCUAUGAAUGUCAUCGAAAUGUCGAUAACUUAUCCCUAGAAGAAAGAAAUCCUCUAGGAUAUGCUGAACCUUCUGAAAAUGAUUUUCUUACCUCUAUUUACAAGUAUCUCAAUUUUAAAAUCACACUUCUCAAAGUAAAACAAAAAUAGCCAAUGAAGAAUAUUUCUAAAACUCAAGUGAAUAAAAGCUGCUUUAUUACAAUUUUACUCUAUUCACGUUUUGGCAUGCACUUUCUCUUUUUAUUUAGCUAAUAAUUACUCUUUGGGAAAAAUGCAUCAUUUAAACAUUUAUAAAAUUUAAUUUUAAGACUUUUGAUUUAUGAUAGCUUCUUAAGUGAUUAUGAAAUGAAAUCUAUUUUCGUAGAAUAUUCAGAAAUAACAUUCAUGUAAAUGACUUCAGUUUAUCUUGUUAGAAGUAUCUAUGAAACAAAACUUUCCCAAGUAAUUUUACUUAAGUUAUCCUUGGAAUGAUAAUUAAACACAAAGACAUGGUAAAUUGAAAAGUAAAGAAAUUAAAAGGAUAACAGACAGGUGUGUCUUUGUUUGUUUCUUCCUUCCUUCUUUUCUGAAUUAUUUAGGAAGUGUCAUAACAUUUGCAACUUACUCUCAGUAGAUUCAGGAUGAAAAGAGAAAAAGAAAAAUAUGCAAAUACAAAUAUAGCAAAAGUUUUAGCAAACAUGUAUAAUUAUUGUACUACUGUUUCAGAUUUUCCCUAGGUUUGAAAGUUUUUAAAACAUAAAUUUAAAAUACCUGUGUUUAUCUAGCUCCUAAUAUAUAUCAGGCACUUUGAUAUAUGAAGUGAAUUCAAUGUUGAACAAAAAAGACCAAGUCCCUGGCCUCAUAGAGCUUAAGAUAUUUAGGUAACAGGCAUUAAACUAAUACUUACAUAAUUUUAAAAACCAGGGUCGAUAAGUGUAAUAAAUGAGUCUGGUGCUUGUGUAGGAUUCAUGUGGACUCCUGCUUCUGCUGGUACAGUCCAUCACUGGCAAAUCUGUGGCAAGACGUUCAGUUCCAGAGCCUCCAUGUCAAGGCCAGUCUACUGGCUUCAAGCCAAGAUGGAGAAAUGGAAACUCCAAAAGAUUAAGCAAGAAGCCCAUAGGAACACAAUUAGUAGAGCAUAGGCAAUGUUACACAGAGCUGGUGAUAGCAGGAGACGGAUCUGCAGUGACAAGCAAGGGUAGCUUCAUCAAGGCAACACCCAUUUCUUGAAACAAUGGCUGUCUCCAAACAAAGUCUCCACUGCUCUGUGUUUGCCUCUGAAAACUAUCUAGCUGAUUAUGCAAAAAUGCCCUACUCUUUUGCUAUGCUAGGUUAAAUUAAAUUUAUUAUGUUGUUAUGUUUCCAUUUUUAUUAUUUCUGAAUACUGAUACAGUGUUUUUAGAAGCCAGAUUAGAGUUUUUCAAAUUAGAGUUUCAAAAUGUUCUCCUAACCCGAGGAAAUUAAUUUUAUGAGCGACUUAAGCAUCUACACUCUAAAAAGACACCUGCUUUCUCAUGGUAAAUAUAUGACUUUAGGAUAAUUUAAAGAGCCUUUGAAAAGUUAAAAAAGAUCAGCAAAAUCUACUAAUAAAAACAGACAAGAUGCUCAGGGGAUUCAAAGUAGGUUAAGCUAUCAAAAUAUAAAUGCCAUUUGAGAGGGAUUCUGGCACUAAAUUUAGGAUUUUAGCAUUUUGACACUGAUAAAUCUUGCUGCAGGGUUCCUAAAUCUGAUGAGAACACGUGGUAGUGAUGCCCAAAUGCCUGAAUUAAAAUAUAGUUUGAUAUUUCAGUUAUUAGAUUAAAAUCAGAAACCUUUAAACACACAGUAAUUUAUGUAGGAUCCUUUUUGUGGGAGACUUCUAAAGCAGAGAUUGACUCAGUUUGACUCUGGAAAGCUUCUAAAUUGAAGACUUUAAGUGUAUAUGCCUUGGCCAUAUGAUGCAAUUUUAUUCCAUAUCAAAUGGAGAAGUCAAAAAGUAGAGUAUGAUAUCAUGCUGUUAAGACAUAAUGAGAAGAUUUAAAAAUUCUUUUAAAUAAACUCUUUAAUGGAAAUAUUCAGAGAGGAUAAAAAUAUUCAGGUGGUAUGGUUUGACCUUUAGAGUCACAUAAGAAAGAUGAGUUAAAUUUCAAUUUGACUUCCUCUUUUCCUAAUUGAAUACCCUUUAUUUCCUUCUCCUGCCUAAUUGCCCUGGCCAGAACU
rnacentral:lncRNA from 1 species